GGUCAAGUGAAGAAGCGCAUACGGUGGAUGCCUUGGCAGUCAGAGGCGAUGAAAGACGUGGUAGCCUGCGAAAAGCUUCGGGGAGUCGGCAAACAGACUUUGAUCCG
rnacentral:rRNA from 1 species